AACGUAGGACACAAGCGUUAUCCGGAGUUACUGGGCGUAAAGGGCGUGUAGGCGGAGAUGUAAGUCUAUUCUGAAAUCUCCCGGCUCAACUGGGAGGGUGCGCCGAAUACUGAGGGACUAGAGUACGGGAGAGGAAAGUGGAAUUCCUGGUGUAGCGGUGAAAUGCGUAGAUAUCAGGAGGAACACCGGUGGUGUAGACGGCUUUCUGGACCGACACUGACGCUGAGACACGAAAGCGUGGGGAGCGAACAGG
rnacentral:rRNA from 1 species